AACGAACGCUGGCGGCAUGCCUAACACAUGCAAGUCGAACGAAGUGGCGCACGGGUGCGUAACGCGUGGGAAUCUGCCCUUAGGUUCGGAAUAACAGCUGGAAACGGCUGCUAAUACCGGAUGCCUGAGGAUGAGCCCGAGUUGAAGUAGGUAGUUGGUGGGGUAAAGGCCUACCAAGCCGACGAUCCAUAGCUGGUCUGAGAGGAUGAUCAGCAACACUGGGACUGAGAAACAGCCCAGACUCCUACGGGAGGCAGCAGUGGGGAAUAGUGGAAAACGGCGGAAAGGAUGAUCCAGCAAUGCCGGGUGAGUGAUGAAGGCCCUAGAGUUGUAAAGCUCUUUUACCCGGGAAGCGGUACCGGGAGAAUAAGCCCCGGCUAACUCCGUGCCAGCAGCCGCGGUAAUUC
rnacentral:rRNA from 1 species